GAUGGAGGGAGGGCAGAGAAACCAGUGUAGUGCAGAGUUAUAGCUUCGACUCGUACCAGCUGGAGGAAGAGGAGGGGACCAAGGGAACGCCGGAGAGAGGGGUGCUGGCCCUGUCAGAGCCGGCCUUUGAGGAGCCAGUCCCUGAUGACCGUUACCAUGGUAUCUACUUUGCGAUGCUAUUGGCUGGUGUGGGCUUCCUGCUUCCCUACAACAGCUUCAUCACCGACGUGGAUUACCUUCACCACAAGUUCCAGGGAUCCUCCAUAGUGUUUGAUAUGAGUCUGGUGUAUAUCGUGGUGGCUCUGGUCGCAGUCAUACUCAAC